rnacentral:rRNA from 1 species
CCUACGGGAGGCAGCAGUAGGGAAUAUUGCUCAAUGGGGGAAACCCUGAAGCAGCAACGCCGCGUGGAGGAUGACACUUUUCGGAGCGUAAACUCCUUUUCUUGGGGAAGAAAUUUGACGGUACCCAAGGAAUAAGCACCGGCUAACUCCGUGCCAGCAGCCGCGGUAAUACGGAGGGUGCAAGCGUUACUCGGAAUCACUGGGCGUAAAGGACGCGUAGGCGGAUGAAUAAGUCUCUUGUGAAAUCUAACGGCUUAACCGUUAAACUGCUUGGGAAACUAUUUAUCUAGAGUGAGGGAGAGGCAGAUGGAAUUGGUGGUGUAGGGGUAAAAUCCGUAGAGAUCACCAGGAAUACCCAUUGCGAAGGCGAUCUGCUGGAACUCAACUGACGCUAAUGCGUGAAA